UUUAAUAUUUUAGCAAGAAUUACACUGUGGGAUUUUAGCAUUGCAACAAUGUUUUGGUUAAGUUCGAUGUUGUUCCUAGAGUUUAUUAGACAAUCAUGUUCAAGAUAAACUAAAAUAAUUGAACUUUGGCGUUUACAAGUGAACUAAUUCAGUCUGCCAGUUCCCUUGUUUUUUUAUUUUUUGUUUUUCCAAUUGAGCACAUCACAAUCUUCCCCUUGUGAUGGCAAGGGAGUAGGUGUUCUUUUUUUGAGUUUUUUACUCAGAAGAAUGUGACUCCUGCAUUUGGUGCUGGGUGAUGUAAAUUCAUCAGUAUGUGCCUUUGCAUUUUCAAUGUACUCUAUAAAUUCACUCGUGAUCUUUGCAUUUUCAAUGUACUAUGUUCAGUGACAUAUUUGCAAUAUGUUAUGAUGUGCUUGAAGCACAUAGUUAUUUAGUCCUUCACAAUGUGAUUAUGAUGCGAUUAUUAUAGGCCUUAAUAAUGUCAUCUCAUUCUAUAAGUAAUCGAGGAUAUACAACUCGACAAUGCCCUAAGUGCAGUAUAAAUUGUGCUACGAAAGCAUCGGCAAGCCCAAAUAACUCGAACAAGAUGAACUACAAAUGUCUAUUAUGUGGGUUCUUCCAAUGAUGUGAUGAAUAUGUUACCGUCGUGCAAAAUGUCAAUUUAAGGUAUCACAAUACAUAACAAUAAACUCCAAUGGAUGAACCAGAAGAACGUGUCAUGGUCAAUCAAGAAAGAAGUGUUGGCCAUGAUACGAUACUCGGUGCCAUAGAGCGUUUGCAACAAUUCUUACUCGGUGCCUUUGGGCGUUUGCAACAUUUUUUGUAUUUUUUGUGUAUAAUAAAUGUGUGCUUGCUUUCGCUCUUCUUUUUUAUUUUGGUAGUCCUUAUUCGAAACACAUGAGAUAGUGUUUUGGGGUUGCCUUUUUACUAAUAUAAUUAUUUCCAUUGUAUCAUUCAACUCGUUCACCUAUGAUUCAACUCGUUCACC
rnacentral:lncRNA from 1 species